UAGCUCUAGCUCUUGGAUGGGCAUCGCUCACGGCAGAGCUGCUGCAGCACACCCGAGGUCUCAGCCCAUGGAUUCAGCAUGCAGAGCCCUCAUCUCCAGCAGCCAGGUGGAACAGACCGCUGGGAAAAGGGAGUUUGGUGUGUGAUGGCAAGAUUCACCAGUGCCCCUUCCACCAUUGCGUAUCAGCCGGAUGUACUCACCUUGACAGGAGUGUAAAAUUUACAACAGAAAUUACUUUAAGACUGGAAAAGCUCUUACUUAACUGAACCAUCAUUCAAAAUGCAUUAUGAAAGUCACCAAGGAGAAGUUUUCCAUCUCACUGUCUGCAGGACUCCUGCAGGUCUUCUGAAGCUUAAGGCUGCCCCUUAAAAGAAAAAGCAGUAAUCUGGCAAAAUGAACUCAGAACACACAAAGAGGAGCCACUGGAGACUAAUCUGCAAGGUAUUCAGAUUCUGCUACCAAACUGCUUCUGGGACUUCAUGCAGUUUGCUUCAUCUGAGAGAACCUCAGGUGUUGCUGUUGAGCAGAAAUUGGAAGAAACUGUGAAGGUGAAUAGACUGGGAAAAUGGUCCUGCCCAUCAUCACAGGAAACCAUAAACCUCACCACUGUGGGACAGGAGUGACCAACCAUGACCAUUUUUGCUGCCUUAGGAACAUCCCCAUUCCCUCUAUUUUUCAGAUAAGAAACAGAAAGAAUGACUUACUAGGGAACCGAGUUAAAAACGAAAGAAGUGAAGAUUGGUCAUCUCUGCAGAGGAAAUUACAAGAAAAAAACUAUUGAUGCAUCUUCCUGACAGGUCUUUCUCAGAAGAAACAGCUGCAUAAUGUGGAAUCAGUUGUGUGAAAUUCUGUUGGCAAGGCCUUUGACUUUCAACUCUGCUGGAUCCAGCUGAGUGAUCAAAGAGAGACCUUUUGCAGAUCCCCACAUUAGUGAUGCUGAAAGCCAGGGCAGAUGGCUUCCAUCCCCCUGCAGUGUGACCAACUGCCCUCUGGGCGAGAUUUGCUGAGUGAAACAACUCUCCUUGAUACAUGUGGGGCUGAUGGAUGCAGCAUUUAUUGUGUUCUUUAACUAGCAAAAGGUUAGUUUGCUGAUUAAGGUAGGGUGUUCGUUUUAAAAGUUUACUUAUUUAUUAAAGCACUGUUUAUAUUAGAAUACAGACUGAUAUCUCAGUUAUUCCCACUUCUUUAGAUCUGCUCUGAAUGGGAAGUGUUAUUGUCUGUCAAACCAGCUGGCAGGGAAUAACAGCCCCCUUGAACUCAGAGGCUGAUGCUGUAGUGGCAGUUCUACUCAUCCCCCUAACCAAUGUCUGUGUGGUACAGUGGGGUGCGUUUAAUUUGGUCUUCAAUUCAGAGCUGGGUUACUGCUCAGUUAGGAGUAUUGCUGAGUAAGACAUAAUUCCUCACAGUCUUGACAAAUUCAUUGCUCAGUCUUUGGGGUUUACCUAUGCAAAACUUGGGAAAUUCACUUAGAGAACCUCAGUUCUUCCCCAUUAGGAUGGAGGAAUAUCUGGAAGCAUGUUAAACAAUCCCUCUAAGCAUCCAUUCUAAGUCAUAGUGAUGCCUUUCCCAAGGUUUGAUAUGGUACAGUCAUGUAGGAGAUGGAAGUACACAAGUACAGUUAUUAAAAAUGAAUGCUGUAUCCUGUUUCCCUUGUGUAUCUUGUCACUGACAUGACUUCACAAGUUGCAAAGCUAUUAAACAUUUCAAACAUGGAACUGGAGCUCAUUAAGCAGAAUGUUGACUGGUAUAUAGCAAACUGUUUCAAAUUCAAGACUGUUAACGUUUGUCUCCAGAGUUUUUUGUCUUCUAGAUUGUCACCAAGCAAUUCAGCUGUCUGGGAAUACAGCCUGUGCUUUCUGUGAUCAGAGUGUGACUGUCCUUUGGGGUGAGGUAGUAGGUUGUAUAGUUUUAGGGCUAUGCCCUGCCUGUCAGAUAACUAUACAAUCUACUGUCUUUCCUGAAGUGGCUGUGAUGUCAGCGCUGGAUGUCUCCAAAAGACUACGCAGAUAUUUUUCAGCUGUAUCUGGGCUCUGUCUACGUGUUUGGUUCUUGUACACAAAUGUCCUUAGAGUGUUUAGAUUCCUGUAUUUCUCACUCAGGCUCCAAAGCCGUUUCCUUCUGGCAUUUGGAGAGCAGGUGGGGUGUGAGUGCCAGGACACAGAGGUACAACCCAGUCCGCAGUGGAUUUGCUCACACGCAGCUGUCUGGGACUGCCAUGGGAGUGGCCACUUGGAAAGAGCUGAUCCGUUUCUCCCUUGUUCUCUGCCGUUUGUAUUCAUAUUGAACAUAAAAAUGGUACUUUUGAUUCAGCAGCUGUUUAAAUCCACUUGGUGUAGGCUGUUUGAGAAACUACAAAGGGAUGAGCUGGACAAAACCCUAAGAGGAUGUCUCCCAGUCAGUCGUGUCCUGCCCUGGAACUGGUAAAUUCUUGAACUCUAAGUAAGAGGUCUCUUUAGUCAGUUUUGGACACUGAUUUAACUAUUUUUUAUUAAAUAUUGCUAGUUUGGGAGGGACAGUCUUUGCCACUGCAGUUGUCCUGUCUCUGGAAUCCCUCCACAACUUCUGUCUGACUCCCAGGCAGAGCUGUGGGGAAGGGCUGAGAGGUCACACAUGGCCUUUCUAAGGCUAAGAAAUGAGUGGGCUGAGAGUGAUAAGGUAAUUUACUUACAAACAGUGAAAUGUUUCCUUCAGAAGAUGCACAUGAUGCUAUAACAGGAUGAGGUAGUAGGUUGUGUGGUUUCAGGGUAGUGAUUUUGCCCCAGUCAGGAGAUAACUAUACAACCUACUGCCUUCCCUGAUAGGCAGCAUAACAACAUCAGUGUCUUAAUUCACAGAGAAACAAGAGCUAAAAUACACUCCUGAGAUAUACUUCUGAGACUAGCAAAGUAAGUCUAGGUACCUAUUGUUCCUAUGCUGUCCCUGAUAGCUCUAAAUUUAGAUUUUAAGUAUAGAGUUUUGUUAACUGCCUGCAAAAUAAUUACCCUUUCUUAAGUCUUCAUCAUGAAAAAUUGAAUUAAAGAAGUUUUAUUUAUUUCAAAGUUUGCCUGCUCUCAAUCUGUUUCAUUUCUCGUUCAUUUGAGUGGGAUGAAGUUACUGGGGGAAAUGAUUUCCAAAAUGUUGCGAACUUGCAUUCAGGAAGUUUGUAUUUCCUUGACAUCUAAGUUUGAGUGCAGCAAAUUUUACUCACAAUGCCCUGGUUUAGUUCAGCCUUAUCUCUCCCUCAGGAACCUUGAAGUGUUUUACAAAUAGUACUAGGUUAAGUCAUACAACAUUCUUCAGCAGGUAAGGUUUACAUUGCAAAGGAAAAGCUGUAAUAAUGAAAAUCAAGAAUGAGAAUUUAAAAAUCAAAACCAGACAUCUAUUUAGUCCCUCAGUUUCUCAUAACAAGCUCAUUUAAUGACAUUUAGUGCCCCUGAAAGAAUUCUCUGCUAUCUAAAAAGCACAAAUUGCACCUGAAAAACUAUGGACAAAAAAUGUUUGGUCAUUAAAGAUAUUUUGAGAAUAUGAACUUUAGAGUCUUACAAGAAAAAUCUGUGGAAGAGAGGGAAUAUAACAACAAGGUGCUGAAUUUGGUUGUAGAAGCAGAAAUCAUUCUCCCAUGUGCAAAACACACCCUGAAAUAGGAGUCCUGUAAACCUUAAGGUUACCUUGAGUCCAGAGGUAUCAGACUGGUUUUGUAUAGCCAUUAGUAUAUAUUUUGAUUAUACAGCAGCCUGUUACCAUAAACUGGAGUCAAAAUUGAAGGUAGUUGUAAUCCUGUGUUUCUGUGUGCCAUGCUAUAAAGGCAAGCCCACCUUCCCUGAGAACGUUUCCCCUCAUCUCUUUAGCUGGGAGAGCUGUGACAUGCAUGGUGAUAGCAAAUGGAAUAACUCUUGUAUUCAGCAGCAAAAGCGGGUAUUUUAUUGCCUCUCUGGUCCAAAAACACCACACAUUUUCUGGAGUCAGGUGGUAUUUGAGGUCAUUCAACACCUCGAAACAAGGCCUUUUGUUCAUACCUUUACCAAAGGUUUGGAAGGGUUUUUGACUUGGGUUCAUAGAGAUAGAUAAACACUGUUGGUGCAGGAGGAAAAGUUAGUACAUGUCUGAAACACCCACAGAAGAACAGGCAACACUGUGACUGGUUUUAAUCUCCAUUCCUCUGGCUGUGUAUCUCUUGAUGCAGCACUGCAGGUCCUGAGCUCUUUCUUGCAGCCUCAGGACUGCAGUGUGAACAUGAGACAAGCUGGGGUAGUGAUUGCAUUGCAUGUAGCCUAAAGCAUCCUGCUGCUCUCCAGGGUGCAGAACAGGCUGGACAGCACAGUCUUGCAUUCCAUAAAUACAGAGAGAAUGUUCUCUCUGGGACAAGGGGGUUAACAAAGAGAGAACACUGUCCACAUUCUACAGCAGCCUGUUAGAUCUCAACUCUGAAGUAGUUUUCAAAUCUUAUGGCUCUGCCUGGGUCAGCAUUUUGCUCUUGGUAAUGAGCUGUGAGUUUUCAGAUUCUAGUUGUUCUGGCAAUCCCAUUAAAAUAAAGAGCCAAAAAUA